UUCCGUAGGUGAACCUGCGGAAGGAUCAUUAUCGAAUUUGAAAGGGGUUGUAGCUGGCCUUUCGCGAGGCAUGUGCACGCCCUGCUUCAUCCACUUACACCUGUGCACACCAUGUAGGCUCAGAGGAGUGCCGGGGCUUCCCGCCCUGGUGCGAGUUUGGCCCUAUGUUUUUUACACACUCUGAUCAGUCAAUGAAUGUCAUCGCGUUAAACGCAUUUUAUACAACUUUCAGCAACGGAUCUCUUGGCUCUCGCAUCGAUGAAGAACGCAGCGAAAUGCGAUAAGUAAUGUGAAUUGCAGAAUUCAGUGAAUCAUCGAAUCUUUGAACGCACCUUGCGCCCCUUGGUAUUCCGAGGGGCACACCCGUUUGAGUGUCGUGAAAUUCUCAACCCAAACACCUUUUGCGAGGUGUCUGGGCUUGGACUUGGGGGUUUGCUGGCUUUUGUCGGCUCUCCUUGAAUGCAUUAGCUCGAACCCUUGCGGAUCGGCUGCCGGUGUGAUAAUUGUCUACGCCGCGGUUGUGAUGCCACCUUCGGGUGUGGUCGGCUUCUAAUUGUCCUGAGAGGGACAACUUUUUGAAAUCUGACCUCAAAUCGGGUGGGACUACC
rnacentral:rRNA from 1 species